AACCUGCGGAAGGAUCAUUGUCGUGACCCUGACCAAAACAGACUGUGGACAUGUCAUCCAUGCCGCCGGGUGAUGGGACUUGCACCUAUCACUCGGUCUAGGCCAACGACCUUCUUUCGGAGGUACGGGGGCCCAAAAGAACCCACGGCGCCGUAUGGCGUCAAGGAACACUAAAAUUGCCUUGCUCGGGGUCACGACCGGCUUGCCGGACGCACCCGUGCAGCGAUGCUAUGUUAAUUCACAUGACUCUCGGCAACGGAUAUCUCGGCUCUUGCAUCGAUGAAGAACGUAGCAAAAUGCGAUACCUGGUGUGAAUUGCAGAAUCCCGUGAACCAUCGAGUUUUUGAACGCAAGUUGCGCCCGAGGCCUUCUGGCUGAGGGCACGUCUGCCUGGGCGUCACGCCAAAAGACACUCCACAACAAUCCUGGUGUGGACGAGGUGUUUGGCCUCUCAUGCCACAAGGUGUGGCGGGCCAAAGACGGGGCUGCCGGCGGUGCCGAUCACAGCACAAGGUGGAUGACACAAGUUGUUCUCGGUGUUACGAUCUGGACCACUCCCGGUGAUGUUAUGGCCCUUUGGACCCAUGGUUUCGAGUGCAUGUAGCUCGGACCGCGACCCCAGGUCAGUCGGGACUACCCGCUGAAUUUAA
rnacentral:rRNA from 1 species